rnacentral:rRNA from 1 species
UGGGGAAUAUUGCACAAUGGGCGCAAGCCUGAUGCAGCAACGCCGCGUGAGGGAAGACGGUUUUCGGAUUGUAAACCUCUGUCUUUGGUGACGAAGAAGUGACGGUAGCCAAGGAGGAAGCCACGGCUAACUACGUGCCAGCAGCCGCGGUAAUACGUAGGUGGCAAGCGUUAUCCGGAAUUACUGGGUGUAAAGGGAGCGCAGGCGGGAUAGCAAGUCAGCGGUGAAAUGCAUGGGCUUAACUCAUGAGCUGCCGUUGAAACUGUUAUUCUUGAGUGGAGUAGAGGCAGGCGGAAUUCCGAGUGUAGCGGUGAAAUGCGUAGAUAUUCGGAGGAACACCAGUGGCGAAGGCGGCCUGCUGGGCUCUAACUGACGCUGAGGCUCGAAAGUGUGGGGAGCA